rnacentral:rRNA from 1 species
CGAACAGAUAAGGAGCUUGCUCCUUUGAAGUUAGCGGCGGACGGGUGAGUAACACGUGGGUAACCUACCUAUAAGACUGGGAUAACUUCGGGAAACCGGAGCUAAUACCGGAUAACAUUUAGAACCGCAUGGUUCUAAAGUGAAAGAUGGUUUUGCUAUCACUUAUAGAUGGACCCGCGCCGUAUUAGCUAGUUGGUAAGGUAACGGCUUACCAAGGCGACGAUACGUAGCCGACCUGAGAGGGUGAUCGGCCACACUGGAACUGAGACACGGUCCAGACUCCUACGGGAGGCAGCAGUAGGGAAUCUUCCGCAAUGGGCGAAAGCCUGACGGAGCAACGCCGCGUGAGUGAUGAAGGGUUUCGGCUCGUAAAACUCUGUUAUUAGGGAAGAACAAAUGUGUAAGUAACUGUGCAUAUCUUGACGGUACCUAAUCAGAAAGCCACGGCUAACUACGUGCCAGCAGCCGCGGUAAUACGUAGGUGGCAAGCGUUAUCCGGAAUUAUUGGGCGUAAAGCGCGCGUAGGCGGUUUCUUAAGUCUGAUGUGAAAGCCCACGGCUCAACCGUGGAGGGUCAUUGGAAACUGGGAAACUUGAGUGCAGAAGAGGAAAGUGGAAUUCCAUGUGUAGCGGUGAAAUGCGCAGAGAUAUGGAGGAACACCAGUGGCGAAGGCGACUUUCUGGUCUGUAACUGACGCUGAUGUGCGAAAGCGUGGGGAUCAAACAGGAUUAGAUACCCUGGUAGUCCACGCCGUAAACGAUGAGUGCUAAGUGUUAGG